rnacentral:rRNA from 1 species
GAUGUCUACUAGUUGUCGGGUCUUAAUUGACUUGGUAACGCAGCUAACGCGUGAAGUAGACCGCCUGGGGAGUACGGUCGCAAGAUUAAAACUCAAAGGAAUUGACGGGGACCCGCACAAGCGGUGGAUGAUGUGGAUUAAUUCGAUGCAACGCGAAAAACCUUACCUACCCUUGACAUGUCAGGAAGUCUGGAGAGAUCUGGAUGUGCCCGAAAGGGAACCUGAACACAGGUGCUGCAUGGCUGUCGUCAGCUCGUGUCGUGAGAUGUUGGGUUAAGUCCCGCAACGAGCGCAACCCUUGUCAUUAGUUGCUACGAAAGGGCACUCUAAUGAGACUGCCGGUGACAAACCGGAGGAAGGUGGGGAUGACGUCAAGUCCUCAUGGCCCUUAUGGGUAGGGCUUCACACGUCAUACAAUGGUGCAUACAGAGGGCCGCCAACCCGCGAGGGGGAGCUAAUCCCAGAAAGUGCAUCGUAGUCCGGAUCGCAGUCUGCAACUCGACUGCGUGAAGUUGGAAUCGCUAGUAAUCGCGGAUCAGCAUGUCGCGGUGAAUACGUUCCCGGGUCUUGUACACACCGCCCGUCACACCAUGGGAGCGGGUUUUACCAGAAGUAGGUAGCUUAACCGUAAGGGGG